rnacentral:rRNA from 1 species
UACAGAGGGUGCGAGCGUUGUUCGGAAUUACUGGGCGUAAAGCGCGCGUAGGCGGCCCGGUAAGUCCGCUGUGAAAGUCCAGGGCUCAACCCUGGAAAGCCGGUGGAUACUGCCGGGCUAGAGUCCGGGAGAGGCGAGUGGAAUUCCUGGUGUAGCGGUGGAAUGCGCAGAUAUCAGGAGGAACACCUAAGGCGAAGGCAGCUCGCUGGAACGGUACUGACGCUGAGGAGCGAAAGCGUGGGGAGCGAACAGG